rnacentral:tRNA from 1 species
GGUCUUGUAGUUUAAUCAGGUAAAACACCCGACUGUUAAUCGGGCAUUAUGGGUUCGAGUCCUUUCAAGACCG